rnacentral:tmRNA from 1 species
GGGGGCGACAUGGCUUCGACGUGGGUAGCAAAACCUCAGGUGCAUGCCGAGCACAGUACCGCUCGUAAAACCUACUGAAAAAAAGUAUUCGCAAACGACGAAAACUACUCAGUGGCUAUCGCAGCUUAAAACCUGCACCACUUCUCUGACCAAGCGUACUUAUGCACUUGGAGUCCUUUCGGGGGCGUUCAGGGAUCAUAUUACAUAAGAUCGCGUCUAGGCUUGGUUCGGAGCCAAAAGCGUUAAACCCAAUCGAAAUCGCAGUUGUCAGUCUUGGCCUGUCGGGUAGGCAACUGUUAAAUCAAAAGCACAGGAUAAGCAUGUAGAGCUUGUGGCGGAGUGCUUGCGGACGCGGGUUCAAUUCCCGCCGCCUCCACCA